rnacentral:rRNA from 1 species
GCGCACCAGGCGCGAAAACUCCGCAAUGCUCGAAAGAGUGACGGGGGAUUCCAAGUGCCUACGCUUAGCGUAGGCUGUUCAGAUGCCUAAAAAGCAUCUGGAGUAAGGGCUGGGUAAGACGGGUGCCAUCUGCAGUGGUAAUGAAGAACUUGCUGCUGCAAGGCAUAAGCCGCCGCGAUAAUACCCGCAGCCCGAGUGGUAGUCGAUUUUAUUGGGCCUAAAGCGUCCGUAUCCGGUCUGAUAAAUGCUUGGGUAAAUCGUCUGGCUUAACCAGACGAAUUCCGGGUAGACUGGUCAGACUUGGGACCGGUUGAGGAAGAGGGUACUUCAGGGGUAGAGUGAAAUCCUGUAAUCCUUGAAGGACCACCAGUGGCGAAGGCGCUCUUCUAGGACGGGUCCGACGGUGAGGGACGAAAGCCAGGGGA